GAACAUCGUGACGGCGAGGAUCGGCGGGACGUCGAGCUGACCGAUCGCAUCGGCGGCGUACUGACCGACGCCCUGGAGGCCGAACACGGUCUCCGUGAGGAUGGCGCCGCCCCCGAUCACUACCGCGAAGUCGAGGCCCCAAAGCGUCACGACUGGAAUCAGGCUGUUGCGCAGGACGUGCUUGAAGAGGACGCGGCGCUCCGAGAGGCCCUUGGCGCGGGCGGUGCGGACGUAGUCCUCGUUGAUCGUGUCGA
rnacentral:misc_RNA from 1 species